GUUGUCCGGAUUUAUUGGGCGUAAAGCGAGCGCAGGCGGGUAGAAAAGUCUGAAGUGAAAGGCAGUGGCUCAACCAUUGUAGGCUUUGGAAACUGUUUAACUUGAGUGCAGAAGGGGAGAGUGGAAUUCCAUGUGUAGCGGUGAAAUGCGUAGAUAUAUGGAGGAACACCGGUGGCGAAAGCGGCUCUCUGGUCUGUAACUGACGCUGAGGCUCGAAAGCGUGGGGAGCGAACAGGAUUAGAUACCCUGGUAGUCCACGCCGUAAACGAUGAGUGCUAGGUGUUAGGUCCUUUCCGGGACUUAGUGCCGCAGCUAACGCAUUAAGCACUCCGCCUGGGGAGUACGACCGCAAGGUUGAAACUCAAAGGAAUUGACGGGGGCCCGCACAAGCGGUGGAGCAUGUGGUUUAAUUCGAAGCAACGCGAAGAACCUUACCAGGUCUUGACAUCCCGAUGCUAUUUCUAGAGAUAGGAAGUUUCUUCGGAACAUCGGUGACAGGUGGUGCAUGGUUGUCGUCAGCUCGUGUCGUGAGAUGUUGGGUUAAGUCCCGCAACGAGCGCAACCCUUAUUGUUAGUUGCCAUCAUUGAGUUGGGCACUCUAGCGAGACUGCCGGUAAUAAACCGGAGGAAGGUGGGGAUGACGUCAAAUCAUCAUGCCCCUUAUGACCUGGGCUACACACGUGCUACAAUGGCUGGUACAACGAGUCGCAAGCCGGUGACGGCAAGCUAAUCUCUGAAAGCCAGUCUCAGUUCGGAUUGUAGGCUGCAACUCGCCUACAUGAAGUCGGAAUCGCUAGUAAUCGCGGAUCAGCACGCCGCGGUGAAUACGUUCCCGGGCCUUGUACACACCGCCCGUCACACCACGAGAGUUUGUAACACCCGAAGUCGGUGAGGUAACCGUAAGGAGCCAGCCGCCUAAG
rnacentral:rRNA from 1 species